rnacentral:rRNA from 1 species
UACAGAGGGUGCGAGCGUUAAUCGGAAUUACUGGGCGUAAAGCGUGCGUAGACGGUAGCGUAAGUCAGAUGUGAAAGCCCCGGGCUCAACCUGGGAAUGGCAGUGGAUACUGGCAAGCUAGAGUGCGGUAGAGGGUAGUGGAAUUCCCGGUGUAGCAGUGAAAUGCGUAGAGAUCGGGAGGAACACCAGUGGCGAAGGCGGCUACCUGGACCAGCACUGACACUGAAGCACGAAAGCGUGGGGAGCAAACAGG